rnacentral:rRNA from 1 species
UGGGGAAUUUUGGACAAUGGGGGAAACCCUGAUCCAGCCAUCCCGCGUGUGCGAUGAAGGCCUUCGGGUUGUAAAGCACUUUUGGCAGGAAAGAAACGUCGCGGGUUAAUACCCCGCGGAACUGACGGUACCUGCAGAAUAAGCACCGGCUAACUACGUGCCAGCAGCCGCGGUAAUACGUAGGGUGCAAGCGUUAAUCGGAAUUACUGGGCGUAAAGCGUGCGCAGGCGGUUCGGAAAGAAAGAUGUGAAAUCCCAGAGCUUAACUUUGGAACUGCAUUUUUAACUACCGGGCUAGAGUGUGUCAGAGGGAGGUGGAAUUCCGCGUGUAGCAGUGAAAUGCGUAGAUAUGCGGAGGAACACCGAUGGCGAAGGCAGCCUCCUGGGAUAACACUGACGCUCAUGCACGAAAGCGUGGGGAGCAAACAGGAUUAGAUACCCUGGUAGUCCACGCCCUAAACGAUGUCAACUAGCUGUUGGGGUCUUCGGACCUUGGUAGCGCAGCUAACGCGUGAAGUUGACCGCCUGGGGAGUACGGUCGCAAGAUUAAAACUCAAAGGAAUUGG